CUUUCAACUUGACAGCUCAGGGAAGUUACCUAGCUUUAAAAAUAAUAUAAAAUCAACUCCUUUUCCAGUUUCCUCCAUUCCAAAGCUACGGGUAUUUUCCUCUUGAAAAAGGACUCCAGGAAGUGUCCAGGGGUGACAAUUGCUGAGCUGGGCCAAGGAAAGCCUAAUCCCAUCACCAAACUUGCCAAGGGGCCAGAAAUGCAAAGGAAGUUCUAUUGUACUUUGGGUGAUGGGCCUUCAGAGGUGUUUGCCUAUGCUAAUCUUAUACCUGAGUCUUGCCCUGACAUGUCUACUUAUGCUAAUCUUGUACCAAGGGCUUGUCUGGACAUGUUUGCCAAGGUUAAACUAGUGUAACCCCUGUCUACCCCUCCCCUUUUGUGACAUGUCAGUGAUGUAACAAUGAUAUAGCAAUGAUGCUCUACAAACUGCAUUCUGGGAUAUGGUGGGGAAGUUUUAAAAGUCUUUGUCACCCCAUCCUCGGGGUUCAAAAUUCCUCUUUGAACCUGUUGCGCAAUAAACUUUGGUCUACAGCUAUUUGCUCCAGUUGAUGGCUGGACUCCUUCCUUUAUUUCGCAAGGGACCCGCGGGCUCUGCCCAACGAGCUGGUUUGACUGAACAGCCCCACACCUAGAUUUUUCCAUAACACUCAGGAGACAGAUGAGACACUCAUCUGUGGUCGCCUGGAGCAUUUGAGGGGAAAGAGAGAGAACAUUGGGGCAUACGAAACAGACAUAGAAAAAGAAAGUGACAACCUGUUUAUAAUUCAGUGGGGCCUCUUCUCAGUUCAUUCUCUUCUGGAUCAGUGCCUUAAUCCUUUGUAGAUUCUGUAUUUCACAGAAUAGUCAUUGAGGUGUCCCCAGAUGUUGGUGUCCAGUUCCCAUCAGCUUCAGCCAGCAGGGCAGACAGUCAAGGAUGAUAGAAACUCUAAUCUGGACCUCACCACCUGGACUCUGCUGCCCUAUAUCCUUCCCAUUGAAACAAAUGUGAAAAUAAAUUUUGGACGCUAUAGAUUUAUCCUGGUCUGGAGCAUGCAAUGUCUUUUGUUUUGCAGCUGUGUGAGUUGUGCUCAUAUUGUAUUGUGGUGGCCAUUGGCUAUAAACAAUAAAAUUUAUAGAUACGGUAGAUUGAACUGCAAAAAUAAGUAAUAAAAUAAUAAAACGAUUUUAUUUUUUUGGUCCUCA